UACAGAGGGUGCAAGCGUUGUUCGGAGUUACUGGGCGUAAAGGGUGUGUAGGCGGUUCUUUAAGUUUGGUGUGAAAUCUCCCGGCUCAACCGGGAGGGUGCGCCGAAUACUGAGGGACUUGGAGUGCGGGAGAGGAAAGUGGAAUUCCUGGUGUAGCGGUGAAAUGCGUAGAUAUCAGGAGGAACACCGGUGGUGUAGACGGCUUUCUGGACCGUAACUGACGCUGAGACACGAAA
rnacentral:rRNA from 1 species